rnacentral:misc_RNA from 1 species
AACGCACCUUGCGCUCCAUGGUAUUCCGUGGAGCAUGCCUGUUUGAGUGUCACGUGAACACCUCACCCUCGCGAUGUCAAAGUCGCCCGUGGUGGAUUUGGACCGUGCCGUAGUCGGCUCGUCCUGAAAUGCAUUAGCUGCGCGUCUGGGAUGACGGCCGUGGUGUGAUAACAUCUGCGCCUCGACCUGUCCCGCCGCGCGUGGCUCACAACCGUCCGCAAGGACAACACCUUAAUGCUUGGCCUCAAAUCAGGUAGGACUACCCGCUGAACUUAA